AACGAUGAAGCUUCUAGCUUGCUAGAAAGUGGAUUAGUGGCGCACGGGUGAGUAAUGCAUAGGUUAUGUGCCCCAUAGUCUGGGAUAGCCACUGGAAACGGUGAUUAAUACUAGAUACUCCUUACGAGGGAAAGUUUUUCGCUAUGGGAUCAGCCUAUGUCCUAUCAGCUAGUUGGUGAGGUAAUGGCUCACCAAGGCUAUGACGGGUAUCCGGCCUGAGAGGGUGAACGGACACACUGGAACUGAGACACGGUCCAGACUCCUACGGGAGGCAGCAGUAGGGAAUAUUGCUCAAUGGGCGAAAGCCUGAAGCAGCAACGCCGCGUGGAGGAUGAAGGUUUUAGGAUUGUAAACUCCUUUUCUAAGAGAAGAUUAUGACGGUAUCUCACGAAUAAGCAC
rnacentral:rRNA from 1 species